GUUGUACCAGAGGUGGUCACAGGGAGAGAGAAAAGGAGCUCUGCAGUCUCUCCCUGGGUAUGGGAAGAGCCCUGCAAGGUGUUCAGUUGAGGAUCAAGAAGGGGAUAAAAGAAGGAGUGGACUUAAACGAGACCUGGCCAGAGGGCUGAGUCACGGGAAGAGACUGACCAAUGUGGAACAGGAGCAGCUGUCAACAGGGGGCAUUACACAGGACAGAACUGUUAGGCCAUGCUCAGCCAUGAGGAGGUGCUCCAGUGGUGAGUCCAUUCUUCUACAGCAUAGUAUUACCAUUAAACUUGUUUUCUCACUGAAAUUUAACAUUGUGUGUCAUACUGAAAGAUACUUGUCUCCAAACCUGACAGUUUUAAACGGAUGUGGACAUUGGUGGUGUCCUAGAGCAAGGAACAUUCAUUGGUUAUUUUCCAAAAGAGAGAUAAUGGGGACCAGGCUGCUUUGACCCAAAUGAGAGGGUCUCCUCAUGAAGAAUUCUAGGUGAGCUUUCCCAUUACAGAAGGAUGCUAUGUGGCAUAGAUAGGCUUCUGGAGAUCUGGGUCCUGCAGUAAGAAGGGAAAUGGUGCAGCAUUGACUCCCACAGAGCAGCAGGUAACAGUGCAUGAGGCCAGCCAGCUGGAUGGCUGAGAUUGAUUGGGCUGCCUCUCUUGGCAAGAAGAUGGAGAACUCAUGAGUAGUAGAAACAUGAAUCAGUUCUUUGGGGGAGCUGGCAAGAAGAGAGUGAGAAUCUGUCUUGUCUGGGAGGGCUGCUCAGGGAUGGGCACUGGGAGGAAAAGUUUUUUUGGAGAAGGUAGAGAGGAUCAUGGAAAGUUUGGAGUGAUCCAAGAACCAGUCCACCUUGAUUCAGAGAAGGAAAGCUCAUUGCUUGGUGCCCCCUUGCCUCAGCUUCCAGUGACCCAGAUACUGAUGGUCUGUUUAAUUAUACAGCAAUGCCAGAGUCACAGGGUACAGCAGACUUUCAGUACUGUCUGUUCAUGAAACAGGCACUGUGCUAAUAAAGUAAACCACCCCUGGUACUUCUACUUCGCCUUGCUGAAUAAAAAUAAAAUGGAGAAUCCAAUAUAAGCAAACAAAAGUUAAGUGUACAAAGGUUUCUUCUGUACUCUCCUUUUCUCCCCAUACAGUUAACACCUCCUUAUCGCUCUGUGCUAGUAAAAUAAGAAUCAUGUCCUGUAACGGGAGAUGAGCCUGUUACGUUCGAUAGCACAAACGAUUUCCAUCUGGCUUCUGCUCAAAGCAAGUACUUCUCCACAUCUCUGCUGACCAUACGCUUCCUCAAUAUCAGUUACUACCGUGCAAAAGAAAGAUAAAAUAGCGUACAUGAUGAUGAUGAUCUUAUUUUCAUAUAGCUCCUUUUAUCCCUCAGGAGGGUUCUCAACAUGCCUUACAGGCGUUACCAGCAGAUUUAUAAACUAUAUAUAGAAACCACUUCACUCACUGCUGAAAUACAGCUACCCUUAGGGUGAAACACAGCAGCUGUUUUGAAACUGCACAGCUAUACUGCACAACAUUUUAGGAUAGGAAGGGGAGAAUACAGUCUGUGUCCCACUGAAAAUGCAAGAGGCAAUAUUUUAGGUAAAUGGAACAUAAUUAUUAAAAGCGCAACGCAAAGAGAACACUAUUAUUAGCUCCUUCUUUCCUAAUAAGCGCCACGGGAUAUCUAAUACCAGUGACUACGGCAAGCAAAACAUACUCCUCUGGACGUCUGGAAAAAUCUGAUCAUUUGAAUGUUCAAUUGAGAGCUGGUAUUUAUUAAAAUUAUUAUGUAAUUACCAAAAAAAAAAAAA